ACAAACCCAGUAUUUUAUAACUGCUCUAAUGUUAAAGGUGCUUUAUAUGAUAUCCAGAGCAUUAGUAUAUCAGCAAACAACUAUUUGCUAUGUAAAGAUGUAGAGGAGUUAUGUCUACCUGAGCAGAGAAGUCUCUCUUCCUCUGUGUGUGCUGUAAU